UUAAGCAUAUUAAUUAGGGGAGGAAAAGAAACUAACAAGGAUUUUCUUAGUGCGGCGAGCGAAAAGAAAACAGUCAGCACUAAGUCACUUUGUCUAUAUGGCAAAUGUGAGAUGCAGUGUAUGGAACAUCUAUAUUCUAGUAUGAGAAAUUAACGAUUUAAGUCCUUCUUAAAUGAGGCCAUUUACCCAUAGAGGGUUGCCAGGCCCGUAUAACGUUAAUGAUUACUAGAUGAUGAUUUCCAAAGAGUCGUGUUGCUUGAUAGUGCAGCACUAAGUGGGUGGUAAACUCCAUCUAAAACUAAAUAUAACCAUGAGACCGAUAGUAAACAAGUACCGUGAGGGAAAGUUGAAAAGAACUCUGAAUAGAGAGUUAAAUAGUACGUGAAACUGCUAGAGGUUAAGCCCGAUGAACCUGAAUAUCCAUUAUGGGAAUUCAUCAUUAUAAUUAAAUAUUUAAUAAAUAUUAUUAAUAAAGUGUGCAUUUUUCCCAUAUAAGGACAUUGUAAUCUAUUAGCAUAUACAAAAAUUUAUCAUAAAAUAUGGCUUAUAGUUUAUUCAAAUUAUUAUGGCUUGCCCAUUGAUAACAUAGAAUAAAUGUCAUUAAAUUGAUAAAGUGCUGAUAGAUUGAUAUGAAAGACAGUGUGUUAAUUUUCGAAAUUAUAUAUGAUAUUUAUAUCUAUGAUAUUUAUAUUUAUUAUAGGGUUGUAUGAUUAACAAUGCGAAAGAUUCAGGAUACCUUCGGGACCCGUCUUGAAACAGGACCAAGGAGUCUAACAUAUAUGCAAGUCAUUGGAUUUAUUUAUAACCUAAUGGCGUAAUUAACUUGACUACCAAUACAAAUGGGAUUAGUUUUUAAAAUUAUUUAUAUAGUUUAUUAUUCAAUCCCGGGGCGCUCUAUUAGAUUAUGUAUAAUAAUAUUUAUAUUAUUUAUACCUCUAACUGGAACGUACCUUGAGCAUAUAUGCUGUGACCCGAAAGAUGGUGAACUAUACUUGAUCAGGUUGAAGUCAGGGGAAACCCUGAUGGAAGACCGAAACAGUUCUGACGUGAAAUCGAUUGUCAGAAUUGAGUAUAGGGCGAAAGACCAAUCGAACCAUCUAGUAGCUGGUCCUUCCGAAGUUUUCCCUCAGGAUAGCUGGUGCAUUUAUAUAUGCAUAAAAUAAUCUAUUCUGGUAAAGCGAAUGAUUAGAGGCCUUAGGGUCGAAACGAUCUUUAACCUAUCUCAACAACUUCAAUACAUUAAUGGGUAAAGAACCUUAACUUUCUUGAAUGAAGUUUAAGGUUAUGAUAUAUAAUGUGCAGUGGGCCACUUUGGUAAGCAGAAAUGGCGCUGUGGGAUGAACCAACGUAAUGUUACGGUGCCCAAAUUAACAACUCAUGCAGAUACCAUGAAAGGCGUUGGGUGCUUAAAACAGCAGGACGGUGGACAAUGGAAGUCGUAAUCCGCUAAGGAGUGUGUAAAAAUCACCUGCCGAAGCAACUAGCCCUUAAAAUGGAUGGCGCUUAAGUUGUAUCCAUCUACAUUACCGCUAAAGUAAAUGAUUCAUAUUUAUAUAAAAAUAUAAAUUUUGAAACUUUAGUGAGUAGGAAGGUACAAUGGUGUGCGUAGAAAUAGAAGUGUGUGGCGUAAGCCUGCAGGAGCCGCCAUUGGUACAGAUCUUGGUGGUAGUAGCAAAUAAUCGAAUGAGACCUUGGAGGACUGAAGUGGAGAAGGGUUCGUGUGAACAGUGGUUGAUCACGAGUUAGUCGGUCCUAAGUUCAAGGCGAAAGCCGAAAAUUUUCAAGUAAAAAUAUAUAUAUAAUAUACACAACAUACAUAUUAUUAUUGAUACACUUGAAUAAUUUUGAAACGAAGGGAAUACGGUUCCAAUUCCGUAACCUGUUGAGUAUCCGUGUGUUAUAAAUAUGGGCCUUGUGCUCAUCCUGGCAACAGGAACGACAUAAAGAAAGAAGCCGUCGAGAGAUUAUCGGAAGAGUUUUCUUUUCUGUUUUAUAGCCGUACUACCAUGGAAGUCUUUCGCAGAGAGAUAUGGUAGAUGGGCUAGAAGAGCAUGACAUAUACUGUUGUGUCGAUAUUUUCUCCUCGGACCUUGAAAAUUUAUGUGGGGACACCGCAAACUCUCAACAGGCCGACCAAUAUCCGCAGCUGGUCUCCAAGGUGAAGAGUCUCUAGUCGAUGGAAUAAUGUAGGUAAGGGAAGUCGGCAAAUUAGAUCCGUAACUUCGGGAUAAGGAUUGGCUCUGAAGAUUGAGAUAAUCGGGCUUGAUUGGAAACAAUAACAUGGUUUAUGUUCUCGUUCUGGGUAAAUAGAAUUUCGAUAUUUUAAUGAUCGUCAUUUGUUCCCCGGAUUGUUAGUUACGUAGCCAAUUGUGGAACUUUCUUGCUAAAAUUUUUAAGAAUACUAAUCUGGAGGGGUUAAACCUUUCAGUUUUAGCUCUUUUAAAUUAUAACGAUAUCAAUUAACAAUCAAUUCAGAACUGGCACGGACUUGGGGAAUCCGACUGGUCUAAUUAAAACAAAGCAUUGUGAUGGCCUAGCGGGUUGUUGACACAAUGUGAUUUCGCCAGUGCUCUGAAUGUCAACGUGAAGAAAUUCAAGUAAGCGCGGGUCAACGGCGGGAGUAACUAUGACUUCUUAAGGUACAAAUGCCCGGCAUCUAAUUAGGACGCGCAUGAAUGGAUUAACGAGAUUCCUACUGUCCCUAUCUAUACUAGCGAAACACAGCCAAGGGAACGGUCUUGAAUAAUAGCGGGGAAGAAGGACCCUUUGAGCUUGACUCUAAUUGGCAGUGUAAGGAGACAUAAGAGUUGUAGAAUAAGGGGAGAUAUUAGAUUUCGGUUUAGUAUCGCCAAUGAAAUACCACUACUCUUAGUGUUUCCUUACUUACUGGAUUAAAUGGAACGUGUAUUCAUUUCCUAGCCAUUCUACGGAAUAUUUUCUUAUAUCUUAUGGUAUUGGGUUUUGAUGCAAGCUCUUGAUCAAAGUAUCAGAGUUUGUUAUAUAAUUGCAAACAAUUCUAAUAAUGAGAGGAUGCGCAUUUAUGUGUAUUUUUCAAUUUAUGAAUUUGGU
rnacentral:rRNA from 1 species